rnacentral:lncRNA from 1 species
AGAAGCAGGAGGCUCCCAGGGGCUUUGGGUAAGAGAGCUGAAAUUCAAAAUGGAAAUAUAUGAGCUGGGGAUAUAGCUCAGUACUUACUUGCCUAGCAAGUGAGGAGCCUCUGGAUUCCAGCUCCACCACCCACCCUCAAAAUCAAAAUGGAUAUUUAUCAGAGCAGGAAUGUGAGGAGAUGGGCAGGAAUAUCUAGAAGCCCCUAUGCAAAUUGCAAUGGCUGCUGUAAGACGGGCGUGGGAAGCCUCUGCAGGCCGAGAAUGUAGCUUUAGGUCUCUGUCAGCUUGAUGUCCUAUGAUUCUGUCUUCCUUUAAGCUCCCUGGUACCAUAGGUGCCAUCAGUAAUUGUGGCACCUUUACUAAGCGUGAAGGGGAAGCUACCAUCACAAUGAUAGGAGAGGCUGGCAGUAACACGGCUAUUUUGAGGCUCUUCUCCAGAUGAGGGGUCUGUGAUGGCUCAAGGCAGUACGUUUUGGGGAGCAGGCAUAGUAAUGCCAUUGAGAUCCGAGCAUCGAGAUGAGCAUGUCAUACCUGCCCAGUCCCUCUGUUUUCUCAUUUGUCACAGCAUAGUGACAGUGUGACCUUCUGUGGCAGGGUGUGUGCAGAUUGCUUAGCUUAGUGCCUGGCACCUUAGCCAUGAAGAGAGCGAAGAUGAGAAUGAGACCCAGCCUCUCUGAGAUACCUGCUGUUGGUCAAGUGCUGGGACAGCCUGAGGAUAAUCAGAGGAUGCUAGCAGGCUGGGGUUUGUGUGGAAGAAUGAAGCAGAAGCUGAUGGUAUGUGAUGACACUCCCUUAGGUAUCUCUUCAUCCUCUCUCCAUCCAGGACCACAGGUCGUGGCUCUUUUCCUAUCAUGCCCUAAUGUUGACUAAUGUUGGGUUACUGUUGGCAACACUCUUCCUCUUUCUGUUCCUCCAGCAAGCACAACUCCUGAGUAUCCAUGGGGCUCUGAUGAUGCUAUCCCACUGGGCUGUUGCUGCUACUCCAGUGAGCCUGGUUCCAGAAAAGGCCCCUCUGAUCUGGCUGGUCCGUGGAGAGGUGCAAGCGCUUCACAGGAGCUGAAGCAAGCAGGGCGGUGGUGAGAGGUCUUGUGGGUGGGUACAGAGAGGAUGCAGAAGGGAGGCUCUUGCUUGCCCUUCCAUUUGUCUAAGUGAAAUGAGCAUAGCUGACCUUGGAUCCUUGGGGGGAUGGGUUCCAGGACUGCCUCACCACUGGUUGCCUAAACGGAGGGCUGUCCAAUCCUUUAUAUUAAAUGCUGUAGAAUUUGCAUAGAGGCCUCACAGUUCUGCAGUAUACUUUAAAUCAUGUCCAGAUGACUUAUAAUGCCUAAUAUAAUGUAAAUGCUGUGUAAAUAAUCGCUACACGGUGUUGUUUAGGGAAUAAUGGCAAGGGAAUUUUUUCCUACAUGUUCAGAACAGAUGUAAUUCCCCACCCCA